rnacentral:rRNA from 1 species
GCUAUUUAGGUUAGAGUUUGAUCCUGGCUCAGGACGAACGCUGGCGGCAUGCUUAACACAUGCAAGUGGAGCGACGAACCAGGCUUCGGCCUGGGGCAAAGCCGCGAACGGGUGAGUAACACGUGGGUAACCUGCCUCGAUGACCGGGACAACCCGAGGAAACUCGGGCUAAUACCGGAUGUGCUCCCGCCACAUCAGUGGUGUGAGUAAAGAUAGCUUCGGCCUUCGCAUCGAGAUGGGCCCGCGGCGCAUUAGCUUGUUGGUGGGGUAACGGCCUACCAAGGCGACGAUGCGUAGCUGGUCUGAGAGGACGAUCAGCCACACUGGGACUGAGACACGGCCCAGACUCCUACGGGAGGCAGCAGUGGGGAAUCUUGCGCAAUGCGCGAAAGCGUGACGCAGCAAUGCCGCGUGGGGGAAGAAGGCCUUCGGGUUGUAAACUGCUUUUGAAUGGGAGAAAACCCCUCUACGUGUAGAGGGCUGAUAGUACCAUUAGAAUAAGCAUCGGCUAACUUCGUGCCAGCAGCCGCGGUAAU